GCGGACUUCGGUCUGGCGGCGAGUGGCGAACGGGUGAGUAACAUAUCGGAACGUGCCAGGAAGUGGGGGAUAACUAGUCGAAAGAUUAGCUAAUACCGCAUACGCCCCGAGGGGGAAAGUGGGGGAUCGCAAGACCUCACGCUUUUUGAGCGGCCGAUAUCUGAUUAGCUAGUUGGUAGGGUAAAAGCCUACCAAGGCGACGAUCAGUAGCUGGUCUGAGAGGACGACCAGCCACACUGGGACUGAGACACGGCCCAGACUCCUACGGGAGGCAGCAGUGGGGAAUUUUGGACAAUGGGGGCAACCCUGAUCCAGCAAUGCCGCGUGAGUGAAGAAGGCCUUCGGGUUGUAAAGCUCUUUUGUCCGGGAAGAAAUCCCAUCUACUAAUACUGGAUGGGGAUGACGGUACUGGAAGAAUAAGCACCGGCUAACUACGUGCCAGCAGCCGCGGUAAUACGUAGGGUGCAAGCGUUAAUCGGAAUUACUGGGCGUAAAGCGUGCGCAGGCGGUUGUGCAAGACCGAUGUGAAAUCCCCGGGCUUAACCUGGGAACUGCAUUGGUGACUGCACGGCUAGAGUGUGUCAGAGGGGGGUAGAAUUCCACGUGUAGCAGUGAAAUGCGUAGAGAUGUGGAGGAAUACCGAUGGCGAAGGCAGCCCCCUGGGAUAACACUGACGCUCAUGCAC
rnacentral:rRNA from 1 species